rnacentral:other from 13 species
GUUGACCUUACAGCAAUCCUAAAGCAUUUUUUCUGAUUAAAAAAAAACCAAAGUCAACUG